CUGCUAUUUCUUCAGCGUGUAAACUAGUGGACCCAUCCGUCUAUCUCGCACCGCUCGGAGAAAAUCCCCCUCCUCUCCCUCUCUGCUGCGCCCAAAAAUCGCCGGGAUCCGCCGCAACCAGCAACAGCGAGGUGAGAGGUGGCCGGAUCCGGCACAGGUCGCCAUGGCGCAGACAGUGACGACGACAGGAGUGGCGCACAUCCGUGGGGCAGGCCGCUGCCAUGGAGAUGGAGCUCCUUCUCCCCACGACGCAGAGGCCCCAUGGAGCCUCCCUCCUUCCCCGGUGACUUCUUCUCAGGCCCCACCCCUACCUCUGCCCUCCUCUCCUCUGCUUUGAGCUGUGCCAUGUUCUGUUUCAGAUCCAUCCACCCAUGGAUGAUAUAUGGCAAAUUAGCUUGGUAGACAGUUAGUGGUCCAGGGUCCAAGUUUAUGCAUUUCUAUCAUGUAACUUAUCUGCAUUUUGUACUUCAGGCUUCAGUUCUAGCAACCAUUUUGCAUCGAUGGAUAUUGUAAGUCAUGUACAGCUUCGUUUUUGCCGUAGAUACCUUACAAUUUGCUUUAGGCUAUUUCCUUCAUUAAAGCAUGUACCAAUAAUUCUAAAGCUUGUUAAUGAGCGGCGGGGAAGUACUCUGCACAUUUCAGAGGCCAGUCUCUAGAUGCUGGUUGUGUGUGUGUGUAUUAAUUAUCUAUAUCAGAUAUGUAUGAUGGCGAAGUAUCAAGUGAAAACGCUGAUUCAGUGAAAAUCUGGAAACUCACCUCGUGAGUCAUCAGAUCAAUAAAGAGCGGCAUAGAUCUUAGGUCGUAUCCCACCAGCCACUUAAACACUAAUUAGCAAAUAACCCUUUCAUUUACGCACCAGGUCCUUACGUUUCGACUACGAUCGAUUCGUCUUUCAAUCUCGUCGGCAAAAUGGAGACUUGCCCUACGCCGGCCACGACGGGCCCUCCGUCGACCGUGAACUACUCCCUCCGCCGGCCACGAAGAGCCCCACGCCAGCCACGAUGCGUCCUCCGCCGGCCACGAGGGGCCCUCCGCUGGCCGUGAACUAUCUCCCUCCGCCGGCCAUGUUCCCUGUCGACGCAUCGGUGCCGCCUCUCCAGGACCUCGCUCCUCCUCGUACUGUGCCAUGCCUCAACCUCGUCUUAGCCCUGCACAGGUAAGCAACAGCUGCUUCGGUUACUGAUUGUACUAAUAUGGGGUCGGUCUUAUUGCCACAACAUCCUCAUAUCCCUCCACCUGAUGGUAGAACAAGCACUACCUGAAUCAUGUUAACCUGAAUGUCACAGUUGUCUUUCUUCAGUUGUACUUUUGAAGUAUCUGGUUUGGUCUUUCUUGUUUGCAUCUUCGUCGGUGUACUGUAGCAUGUACAUCAGUUGCCGGCAGUAGAAUAUGUAAACUGGACUUGUAAAUCCUACUUGAGAGCAGUAGGGUAAAUUCCAAAAACAAAAAAUAUGGGAUGAGUUCCCAAAUUAAAAAGGGGAUGGAGAAGGGAAGAGAAAUAAGAAUGGAGAGGGGAAGAAAAAUGUGGGAGGACCGAAAAAGCCUCGCACCUGCAGGACAUGUAACCAGGUUGGCUUCCAUGACAGUCGUAGUUGCCCCCAAAAGAAUCAACAAUAAUAAAGGUUCCUUUAUUUCGAUUCGAGGCAACCACAUGUUUUUAUUUUGGGCGGUACAAGAUUGAAGUCGAAGCCUCAAUAUUUUCUUCUCUGAAUUUUGUACUUCUGAGAAUCAUCUAGUUAUGUAGCCUCAACCUUGUAGUUAAUUAAGUCAAUGCCGUACCUAUCAUAUCGAUUCUGGCCGUACUUAGCAUAUCGAUUCUGGAUGUUACUAUUGGUGAUGAAACUUAAAAUAUUUAGUACUGAUUGUACUACUAUUAUGUUGCCUCCAAUUAAUUGCUUCGGA